UGGCGAACGGGUGAGUAACACGUGAGUAACCUGCCCUUGACUCUAGGAUAAGCCCGGGAAACUGGGUCUAAUACUGGAUAGGAACGUCUACCGCAUGGUGGAUGUUGGAAAGAAUUUCGGUCAUGGAUGGACUCGCGGCCUAUCAGCUUGUUGGUGAGGUAAUGGCUCACCAAGGCGACGACGGGUAGCCGGCCUGAGAGGGUGACCGGCCACACUGGGACUGAGACACGGCCCAGACUCCUACGGGAGGCAGCAGUGGGGAAUAUUGCACAAUGGGCGAAAGCCUGAUGCAGCGACGCCGCGUGAGGGAUGACGGCCUUCGGGUUGUAAACCUCUUUCAGUAGGGAAGAAGCGAAAGUGACGGUACCUGCAGAAGAAGCACCGGCUAACUACGUGCCAGCAGCCGCGGUAAUACGUAGGGUGCGAGCGUUAUCCGGAAUUAUUGGGCGUAAAGAGCUCGUAGGCGGUUUGUCGCGUCUGUCGUGAAAGUCCGGGGCUUAACCCCGGAUCUGCGGUGGGUACGGGCAGACUAGAGUGCAGUAGGGGAGACUGGAAUUCCUGGUGUAGCGGUGGAAUGCGCAGAUAUCAGGAGGAACACCGA
rnacentral:rRNA from 1 species